CGUAGUUUCCAGAGUUUACUUAUAAAGCUCACUUACAGAAUUCAGUUAGAAAAGUCAAGCAUUUGAAGGGCGCACAUUCGAAGGAAUAUUAACUCAAUAUUAACUCAUUACGGUUUACAUUUUCGAGUUUAAAAGUUCUCCGAAAUUACAAUGAAAAAGGAAACAAGAAAAAUUACCACUCCAGCCGAUAAGAAAGAUUCAGGAGAUCAAGAUUGUAAGAGCAGGACUGCUAAAAGAAAGGCCAGUCCUGAAAAGAAGACCCAAUAAAAAGGAGGAGGGUCGCUGAGCAGGCUGGUCCUUCCACCAGCUCAGAUGUGGUCAAAGGAGUGAAGCGCAAGGUUGUGCAAGAUGAAGAGGGCACAACAAAGAAAGCAAAGAAGGCUAAACUUCUCCACCAUAUGAGCGGUGACAAGGAGCAAGCAUCCUCCUUGUUGGACUCUGGUAAAGACUUGAAUAACAAACAGGUGUGCGCAAAAAAUGGCAAAAGAAGGCCGCGGGAGACAACAGAGAGUCACCCAAGAAAAAAAAAGGAAUGUGGACCAGGACAAAAAAUCAGUGGCAGACCAAAAACGUGAAUUCCAAGCCAGAUAUGCGGAGGAGCACCAGCUCGGAGAAGGAGGCUGCGGAGCAGUGUUUGCUGGCUACCGGAUAGAAGAUCGUUUUCCAGUUGCCAUCAAACACAUUCCCAAAAUAAAGUCUACUGCAAAGUGGCGGAUGAAAGCGGGAAGAAGCUCUCAGUGGAAGUGGCCAUUAUGGUUAAACUUGCAGGUGAAGCAGAAGGGUCAGUGGGAAUAUCUGCACCUGUGUCCUUGCUGGAGUGGUUCGACCUUGGCAAAGAGCUGAUCCUGGUGCUGGAGAGACCUGUCCCGCUGUGGACCUGCAAAAAUACAAAGCAGAAAAUGGAAGAACUUUAACAGAGGACAAGGCCAAGGUCAUUCUGAAGCAACUAGUUGAUGCUGUAAAGGAACUUGAGGAUAAACACAUCUUUCAUCGGGACAUCAAGGGACAAAACAUUCUGAUUGAGACCGGCUCAGAUGUGCCUCGUGUUCGCAUCAUUGACUUUGGACUGAGCUGCUUUGUUAAACAGCGAUCUCUGUAUCGCAUCUUCUAUGGCACUCCUCUUCACAUCCCUCCCGAGUGGUACAUUAGGAGCUGCUACAGGUGUGGACCCACCACGGUGUGGCAAAUGGGAGUGGUGUUGUAUGAAGCGCUUCAUGCACAAUACUUUAGUACCGCGAGGUUCCUCACAAAGAAACUGAGCAUCAAAAAGCGUCUGUCCACAGAAUGCCGCAAUUUCUUGGACGCAUGUUUAGCUAUAGUCCCGGAGAAGCGCCCAACACUGGAGGAGCUCCAGCUUCACCCCUGGCUAAGAUAACACACACAAACACACAAUUCACACCUUAUCAUAUAAGUAUGAUACAUUGUAGUAACUUUCUUUCUUUUUUCUGUUGGACAGGAAUAGAUAGAAUGGGUCAAUCUUAAAAAAUAAAUAAAUAAAAAUUUAGCUUUUUUGGAGUUCCUGUAACCCCCCCAGCCAUCCCAGGAAAGGGGAUCUCUCUUUGAAUGGGCUUUCCCGAGGUUUCUUCCCAUCGAUCUGGCCCCUGGGGAGUUUUUCCUCGUCUUCAUAGAGAGCUUGGGCUGGGUCAGGAGCUCCAUCAAAACUGUCUUUAUUUGAUGACUUUAAAAUAAAGAUGUGUUUUACUUAAAUAAAACUUGUUUAAUUCA